UACGGGGGGGGCAAGCGUUGUUCGGAAUUACUGGGCGUAAAGGGCUCGUAGGUUGCCAACUAAGUCAGACGUGAAAUCCCUCGGCUUAACCGGGGAACUGCGUCUGAUACUGGAUGGCUUGAGUUCGGGAGAGGGAUGCGGAAUUCCAGGUGUAGCGGUGAAAUUCGUAGAUAUUCGGAAGAACACCAGUGGCGAAGGCGACUUACUGGACACAUACUGACGCUGAGGUGCGAAAGCGUGGGGAGCAAACAGG
rnacentral:rRNA from 1 species